rnacentral:rRNA from 1 species
CUUACCUACGGGGGGCAGCAGUGGGGGAUAUUGCACAAUGGGGGAAACCCUGAUGCAGCGACGCCGCGUGAGGGAAGACGGUUUUCGGAUUGUAAACCUCUGUCUUUGGGGACGAAUUGAGACGGUACCCAAGGAGGAAGCUCCGGCUAACUACGUGCCAGCAGCCGCGGUAAUACGUAGGGGGCGAGCGUUAUCCGGAUUCAUUGGGCGUAAAGCGCGCGUAGGCGGCCUGUUAGGUCGGGGGUCAAAUACCGGGGCUCAACCCCGGUCCGCCCCCGAUACCGGCA